rnacentral:rRNA from 1 species
UGGGGAAUAUUGCACAAUGGAGGGAACUCUGAUGCAGCGACGCCGCGUGAACGAAGAAGGCUUUCGAGUCGUAAAGUUCUUUUAUAUGGGAAGAUAAUGACGGUACCAUAAGAAAAAGCCCCGGCUAACUACGUGCCAGCAGCCGCGGUAAUACGUAGGGGGCUAGCGUUGUCCGGAAUCACUGGGCGUAAAGGGUACGUAGGCGGUCUAUUAAGUCAGGUGUGAAAGCGUGAGGCUUAACCUCAUUAAGCACUUGAAACUGAUAGACUUGAGUGAAGGAGAGGAAAGUGGAAUUCCUAGUGUAGCGGUGAAAUGCGUAGAUAUUAGGAGGAAUACCGGUGGCGAAGGCGACUUUCUGGACUUUUACUGACGCUCAGGUACGAAAGCGUGGGGAGCAAACAGG